GAACAGUCUCUAUGUAGACAUUAAUGACAUCAAUAACAGGAAAAGCCAACUGAAGAUGUGCAUACACAAUUAAGUUAGCCAGAUCAGCGUUGUUAUAACGUGAAAGUACUAUUGCAAAAAAUAUAUGAAUUAUUGCGUCGCUUUGUCGCACAGCAAGAAGAAUAAUAAUUAAAGCAACAACAGCAACAGCAACACAGAACAGUUACAAUAAUAACAAAAACAACAGCAUCAUCAGCAACAGCAAAUCGAACGGUCUAUACAAUGCUAAAAAUUGUGCCAUAUCAUAAGCCGUUUCCACCCUCAAUUGCCUUACGAAGCACUCGUAAUGCCCAUACUCCUUUUUUCAUACCGGAUUUCGACUGCGAACUACGCGACUGGGGACUACACGAUGGAUGGAUGGUUGAAGAGGAACGUCAAUUUCAACAUGCUGGCCGACACGUUUUUGGGAUUUUUGAAGUCACACGCAUCAACACACUCACACACACAUACAUACAGACUGAGAAACUCGCGCGCACACCCUCGCACACACAAAAGGAAUGCCGUUGCCUUCUUCAAAGCGAAAUUCCUGGCCUGGUCCUUAAAAUGUGGUAGAAAUUUCAUGGACCAUUUUCUAAAGGUGACGAAUCAGAAUUUUUUGCUAUAUUUCAGUUUUUUUUUUUUUUUUUUUGGUUUUUGUGAAAUGUGUGAAUAAUGUUAAUUUGUAUUAUAUUACAUUCUUGUCAGGUGUAAUUGUAGUGGGUAUUUCCAAUAGACUAAUAGACUCACAAUGUAAUAUGUAUAAUAUUCUUAAAUUUCAGUUGUUCUUACUAUAAGUUGAGCUACGUAAUAUUUAUAGUAUAUCCCGCUAAUGUAUAAUAUAUACAGCCUGUAUCCAUUACAAAAAAGUAAGAACGUUGCAGUUGGGCGUUACCGACUGCAGAAUACUGAUUCACAACCUAUUUCCCGAUUUGCCCAAAUGCUAUACAUACAUAUGUUGAUUGUUUGUGCAAAUCAUAGGAGGAUACUGUCAGCAAAUUAGUCGGGAUUAGUGGAGUUUCUAGCUCUAAAACUAGUAAAUAACAAGUAAGAAAGCUCUAGUCGAGACUGCUCGACUACGAGAUUCCCUGAACCUGCUCGGAGAGCA